rnacentral:lncRNA from 1 species
UGGAAUCAAGAGGCCGGUAAAAGAGACCUGGAAAGGGAAGGAGAAAGAACAGUGGGAAGUGCAUGGGUCACCUGACGAACACUUAAAGUUAACUCUGAGAAAAAUUUAGAAAGAAAGCGUGGGCUGGCUGCAUUUCUGAAAGGUUGGGUUUCAGCCGAGCAAGUCUGAGGCCCCUUUCCCGCGCCCUCUGGUGGAAAGUGUUCGCUUUUCUGUCCACCCAUGUGAAGGAUUCACCCCGACCCUCCUCAGGUGGCCUUUACUUUGCAGGAGCAAAGCAAGUUGGAUGAGGAGAUACAUGUAUGUGGCACACAGCUUUCUUCACUUAGCAACACGUCAGAUGCAGCGUAGAUGUGCGGAUGAAACCACCAUUGCAAAAUUAUCACUGAGACAGUCAGAGAAACCUGACAUGGCUGACUCCAUGUUGCUUUUAGCCUCACAGGCUGGCUCUCUUAGCUCAUUCCUAAGCAUGGGCCUGAAACUGCCAUUGCAAAAUCGUAACUGAGACAGCAAAAGAGACUUGACCUAACCAACUCCAUCUUGCUUCUAACCUCCAAGCUGUCCUUGUUCAUUCCUGGGUGUAGGCUGAACUAACUUUGGGAGGAACUUAAUUUAUAGUUUAAAACAAAGACGAUAAGACGAUAACAGCCCUUUCUCAAAACAAACAUCCUUCCUGACUGGGGACUAGACUGCCUUUGUAGGAUUAACAAAUUAGCCACAAGAUCAGAAAUUAUAGUUUAGGAGUCAUGCAGCUGGAGGCUCUAAGAUUGUGACCCUCCCUAAACCGCUCAGUGCUUGAGAUGUUUUACAGACCCUGCACUUAAUGGAUCAGCUGGCACCACCCAGAUGGAUAAACUGGCUCAUGUGAUCUUGUGGCCCCCACCCAGGAACUGACUCAGUGCAAGAAGACAACUUCAAUUCCCUAUGAUUUAAUGUCCUACCGAAUCAAUCAGCACUCCUGACACACUGGCUUCCCCUCACCCACCAAAUUGUCCUUAAAACCUCUGAUCUCCAAAUGCUUGAGGAGACUGAUUUGAGUAAUAAUAAAACAAGGCUCCUGCACAGCCGGCUCUGCGCGAAUUACUCUUUCUCUACUGCAGUUCUCCUGUCAUGAUAAAUCGGCUCCAUCUAGGCAGCCAGCAAGGUGAACCCACUGGGUGGUUACAGGCCACGCUAAGUUCGGGAGAAAUUUAGUUUAUGGUUUAAAUGAUAACAGCCCUUCCCCAAAACUAAACUGCCCUGGUAAAACUAAUGAAAGGCCGCCAAGUUAGGAGGAUGACAGGGGCCUGAAUUCUACUGAGCCGUAAGCGUAAUUACCGGCCAUUAUUCCAGAGGACACAAGAUUUGCAACUUGCCUAAUUACUCCUGCAAAGAACAUCGCUACUGUAGCACCUGAGAAUGGCCUUUUGAGAUGUGUUUUCAGGCUUUUGCACUUCUGACAACUGAUGGCUGCACUUGGACUCGCCAGCCGGUCCCGCGUCCCCACCAGAAGCAGAGUAAGCACAAGAGGACAGCUCCGACUCCCUAGGAUUUCAGCUCUGACCAGUCGCACGCCUGGCUCACUGGCUUCCCCACACCCACCAAGUUGUUCUUAAAAACUCUGCUGCCCGAAUGCUCAGGGAGAGUGAUUUGAGUAAUAAUGAAACUGUUGUCUCCUGCACAGUCGGCUCUGCGUGAAUUACUCUUUCUCUAUUGCAAUUCCGCUCUCUUGAGAAAUCGGCUCUGUCCAGGCAGCAGCAAGGUGAAGCCACUGGGCGGUUACACUGAUAUGAUUCCCCCUUUGCAGUUUUUACUCUCUUGGUGCUGCAAACAGUUCCUCACUGAGGACCCUUGUACACGUAUCACUGUGAGCAUGAAUCCGAAUUUCUUUAGGAGACAUACAUACUAGUGGGUAUGUGCAUGUUAUGUAAUUUCUCUUAGCACUGUUUCCUCACUCAUCAAAUAAGGAUCAAGUAGUUCUCACCACACAGGGUUAUUUUAGAAAUAAUUUAGUAUACAUAAUAUACAAUGCAAUAACAAGUACUGAUGUCUACUUCUUUUAGGUUAUAUGAUAAUACCUUAUACAUAGUACAUGUGUGAUUAUAUAUAUUGCAAUGUAGAGUACGAUCUAUAAUUUACAGAACUGUUGUUUAUAUAUAACAAAUGCUGUCCUUGCGAUAGUUUGCUCAGAAUGAUGGUUUAUGUAUACAUAUGUAACAAACCUGCACGUUGUGCACACGUACCCUAGAACUUAAAGUAUAAUUUUAAAAAAUGCUAUAAUUCAUGUGGUGAUUAUUAUCUACCAGUUACAUCAUCGAUAGAAUGAGGACGUUGUUAACGGUACACGCCAGACAGGAUGGCUGUGAGGAUCUGUGAUAAUAAGAAUUAGAUAUUUGGUCUUUGUCCCUGUUUCCUGAUGGAGGCUUCUAAACCCCUUGGAAUUCCCUGACUGAUAGGGGCAAGAGGAAAUCUUUUGUUAUUCCUAACGAGCCCCUUUCAUCCAUGCCUGUGUUUAUGCUAAUGAGGUGACUCCUGGAGGAUGAGGGCUGGUUGCCAGGGGAAUCAACUUUGCCUUGCAACUUUCAGCUCCAGUCCGUGACUUCCAGGGAAAGAACAGGGGCUGGAGAUUGAGUUUAAUCGCCAAUGACCAGUGAUUUGAUCAUUCAUGCUUAAAUAAUGGAACCAUAAGAAACCUAAAGAAAAGGUUUGGAGAGCUGCUGGGUUCAGGAGCACAUUCGUGUGCUGGGAGGGUGUUGUGCCUGGUGAAGGUGUGGAAGCGCUGACUCUGCCUCGCAUACCUUGUCCUGUCUGUGUCUUUCAUCUGGCUGUUGCUGAGUUGUGCUGUUUAUAAUAAUAAACUGGUAACAGGAAGUAAAGCACUUUCCUGAGUUUUGUGAGCCCAUUCUCUUGAUUUACCAAACCUGAGAUAGAGGGAUUGUGUGUGG